CAGAAGUGAUUUUACUGAAUGGUAGGGAAGGUGCGGUUUGGAGCAGUCUGAUGUUAAGGCGAGGAGCUCCAAAGGACCACAAAAAACCGUCUGGGUCUUCCCACUGUUUUCCUGCGAGUACAUCCAGUCCUAGCAAACUGUCUGGGAUAUCUCCAAUAACCAUUUGAACAACUACUGGGCUGUGAUCCCCAGGCAAUGUUUAUCUGCAUGCUGUGAGGCAUGGGAGAGCUGCAACAAAUAGUUGCGGUUUCUUUCUUGCUCUAAUUGGUUUUGCAAAAUUUCUACGUGAUUUCUUUCUUGCACUAAUUGGUUUUGUAAAGUUUCUACAUGAUCUGCUUCCUGCUCUAAUAGUUUUUGCACGGCUUCUACCAAGUCUUGCAAAGAGUCUAUAACUGCCUUUUCUUCACUCACUCGUCUGAAACGAGCUUGCACAGCUGCUGAGAGACAAGCACCUAGAACUGUGCAAAGUGUGGUUUUAUUAUUCUUUCUCAGUUUGAAUUUGGUUUCAUGUUGCAAAGAAUGUAUUCUAUCAAUCACAUUUUCUAAAUUACACCAGUUAUUGUAUGCCCAA